GACGAACGCUGGCGGCGUGCUUAACACAUGCAAGUCGAACGGAAAGGCCCCCUUGUGGGGUACUCGAGUGGCGAACGGGUGAGUAACACGUGAGUAACCUACCCUUUACUUUGGGAUAACUUCAGGAAACUGGGGCUAAUACCGGAUAGGAGCUCCUGCUGCAUGGUGGGGGUUGGAAAGUUUCGGCGGUUGGGGAUGGACUCGCGGCUUAUCAGCUUGUUGGUGGGGUAGUGGCUCACCAAGGCUUUGACGGGUAGCCGGCCUGAGAGGGUGACCGGCCACAUUGGGACUGAGAGACGGCCCAGACGCCUACGGGAGGCAGCAGUGGGGAAUAUUGCACAAUGGGCGGAAGCCUGAUGCAGCAACGCCGCGUGCGGGAUGAAGGCCUUCGGGUUGUAAACCGCUUUCGCCUGUGACGAAGCGUGAGUGACGGUAAUGGGUAAAGAAGCACCGGCUAACUACGUG
rnacentral:rRNA from 1 species